UAUUGGGCAAUGGGCGCAAGCCUGACCCAGCAACGCCGCGUGAAGGAAGAAGGCCCUCGGGUNUGAAACUUCUUUUAUCAAGGACNNCCNNNANGACGGUACUUGAUGAAUAAGCCACGUCAAACUACGUNNNCNCAGCCGCGGUAAUACGUAGGUGGCAAGCGUUAUCCGGAUUUACUGGGUGUAAAGGGCGUGUAGGCGGGACUGCAAGUCAGAUGUGAAAACCAUGGGCUCAACCCAUGGCCUGCAUUUGAAACUGUAGUUCUUGAGUGUUGGAGAGGCAGGCGGAAUUCCGUGUGUAGCGGUGAAAUGCGUAGAUAUACGGAGGAACACCAGUGGCGAAGGCGGCCUGCUGGACAAUAACUGACGCUGAGGCGCGAAAGCGUGGGGAGCAAAC
rnacentral:rRNA from 1 species